UACGUAGGGGGCAAGCGUUGUCCGGAUUUAUUGGGCGUAAAGAGCGUGUAGGCGGCUUGGAAGGUCAGCUGUGAAAACUCGAGGCUCAACCUCGAGACGUCGGUUGAAACCAUCUGGCUAGAGUCCGGAAGAGGAGAGUGGAAUUCCCGGUGUAGCGGUGAAAUGCGCAGAUAUCGGGAAGAACACCCGUGGCGAAGGCGGCUCUCUGGGACGGUACUGACGCUGAGACGCGAAAGCGUGGGGAGCGAACAGG
rnacentral:rRNA from 1 species